rnacentral:rRNA from 1 species
UACGUAGGGUGCGAGCGUUGUCCGGAAUUAUUGGGCGUAAAGCGCAUGUAGGCGGCAGCGCAAGUCGGGCGUGAAAUCCCACGGCUCAACCGUGGAAGUGCACUCGAAACUGCGCAGCUAGAGUCCUGGAGAGGAAGGUGGAAUGCUUGGUGUAGAGGUGAAAUUCGUAGAUAUCAAGCGGAACACCGGUGGCGAAGGCGGCCUUCUGGACAGUGACUGACGCUGAGAUGCGAAAGCGUGGGGAGCAAACAGG